rnacentral:lncRNA from 1 species
UUCGGAUCUAGGGAGGCAAUGUACUAAGGAUAGUUUCUCUUUCAGUGCCCUUGCUUCUUGCAGUAAAAGUAUUCCAUCUAACUCUGGUCAGACUUAGUUUUUUGAUCUGAUAGGGCUUGGGUUUUCCAGUAGUUUGCACCUUCUUCUUAUUCUUCUUGUUCUUCUUCCCUUUCUUAAAGGAUCGACAUCCAGAAGAAGUCCCU